rnacentral:rRNA from 1 species
AUCUACGGCCAUGCUACCCUGAACACGCCCAAUCCCAUCUGAUCUCAGAAGCUAAGCAGGAUUGGGCAUAGUUAGUACUUGGAUGGGAAACCACCUAGGAAGACCAGGUGCUGUAGGCG